UUGUUCUGGUUUCUAUGACCAUUAUCAUCAUUUCUAUGGUUAUUAUUUCUAAAGCUAUUAUUAAGCUGCGUAUUCCUUCCAAUCAUCUUAUGAUAGGUUCUACAUUUCAUCAUUUUGUGGCCCUUCUCACAGAAGUGGCAAGUUACUGAUUUAUUUGUGAAUUCCCGUAAAGGGGCUAUAGUCUCUCCCUUAUUUUUCAAUUGUCUCUUUAACAUUUCAAUUUCAUUCUUUAAACCUUCAGUUGAUAUAUCGUCUUCCUCAGGUCUUUUUAUACGACCUUUAUAAACAUAGGUUGCUACUCUCCUUAGUUCAUCGAGGUCCGUAGAGUCCCAAUUAGGACAGCUAGUUUUAAAGUAGUCCUUUACCGCUGAACAACAAUUCUUAACAAAUUAUCUACGUAGUUGUCUAAUGUCUCUUUCUCAGGAUAAAUCAAGUUCCAUAUAAGUAUUUCCUAUGUCAAUAAGUCUGUCCAUAAACUGGGAGGGUGUUUCAUCAAUAUGUUGUCGGGUUUUUUCAAAUUUUCACCAUUUUUCAGGUCUAUCAGAGCAAACUCUCAUGGCUGUCAAUAAUGCUUCUCUGGCCUGGUUUAUUUUUGUGUAAUCUAGUUCAACAUUGGGGUUCCAAUGUGGAUCUCCAGUUCCCCAAUGACUUCCUUUUUUACCUCGUUUUUGAUUAUCCAGAGAGAUGAUUUUAUUUUUCUCUCUCUUUGUUAAUAAUUCAUCUAAUAUAUUCUCAUCAUCCAACCAAGUGGGGUCAAAAGUUCUGAAUAUGUUCUCUACUUCUUUUAUAAUUAUUAUUGGUUCGUCCUCAAGUGAUGGCAUAUCUUCCUUCAAUUUUUUUAAAUCCUCAGGGGUAAGAGGUGUAUAUGAUGUCUUACAGAUAUCAAGUUUCCAUUUUUAUUAAAAGUGGGUACUUCCCUUAAAGGAAAUAAGCUUUCUAAAUUAUUUGGUACUCCUUUUUCUAGGCUUCUUGAUCCAUUUUCAAUUGGGUAGGUUUGAGAAAUAGAAGAGUUGGGCACAUUAAAAGGAAAGGGUUGUUGUAAUCCCAUAGUGCCAGAAAAUUCAGAGGUAGGGUAUGAAUUUAGGUUGGAAUGUGAACUUAAAGUAGAUUGUGUAGGAUGAGAAGGAGGAGUCAAGAAAGAUGUGUGAAAGGAUACAGAGGUGUUUGGAUUGGAGGAAUCAGUAUCAGAAGUAUGGUUAGGGUGUGUAGUUAGAGUUGAUUGUGUUGGGUUGGGGGCAUGGAUGUGGCGUAAACUUAGAGUUGAUUGAUUAGAAUUAGGGUUUUCUGAGGACAAGGGGGCAGGGGUGGGUUCGUUAGAAGGGUUAUUGUCCAUAGCAAGGUGGGACAGAGAUUCUGAUAUUGUACUAAGAAAAGAACAAAGUAUUUACUGAAACUCCAGUUGUUAACUAAGUUCUGAACUGUCUGUGACUCCAUAUUUCUAAAGUAAAAACGUGGGAAGAAGGACAAGGCCAAAAAGUUUUCCCAGGUUUUUCUAAUCCUAAUUUAGGCAAUUGCUUGCCAGGACCUUAGGGCCCUGUUGCUAAGAUGUAAAACAGCUUAAUUUAAGGAGAAUCAAAAAAGUUUUUUUACUCACCCGUUCUUGCAGCUGUCAAUUGAAGUUAAGUUAAAACAUAAAACAAAACUGACUGAUAGGCAAGUAAUAAAUCAAAACGAUAAAGGAAAGAGAUUUCACAGAAGUCUUUUGAGGGUUUCUCACCAACUUCGUAAGGUCGCCAUAAACUGUUAUAUUUAAAUUAGUCUGAGGGGCUUCAAUUGUUGUAGAUAAAAGAGUGGGAGCCAUAAACUGUAAUAAUUAAAAUGUUUGGGAGACAGGGAAUAUAUAUAACAAUUAUGAAUAUGUUCAAGUCAACUGGGUUUUAUAGAGAACUUUAAUUAAUAAUACAAUGAUUAAUCAAUAGAGAGAGAGAGUAAGAAAAGGAAUAAGUAUGAAAGGCCUUAAGCCAAUAUGGCCUAGACCUGAGUCUUAAGAGAGAAAUCAGUCAGUUUGUUAUAACUCACCACAAGAUCUGUCUAAGUAAGGAUUCUAAUGACACCAGGCCAGCAGCAUCUCAGCUGCUUUCACCAGCUCCCUCCUCCAUCUGAAUGUUUCAGAAUCAGCCUCCUCAGAAUGAGUCUCUCCAAUCUGAAUGUUUCAGGAUGAGAUUCAGCUCUUCUCUGAGCUCUUAUUUUUAAGGGCAAAAUCUCCUACAUCACCUCCCCAGAUGUUUUCCAAAGGACAACCCCUUCUGAAUUCACAGCUGAGUAGAUUUAUCUCUUUAGUAAGUCAGAAAAAAAUGCUGCUGUGUCAACUAAUUUCAUCAAGAGGAAACCUCUCAAUAAGUUUUCACCUUUUAGGUUUAAGUAAGUUUACAAGUUGCCCCACCUUUUUAGGUAUUUAGUAUCCCAUUGUAUCAAUUCUAAAAACAGUCAUGACUCAAAGAACUUCCUGUCCCUUCCAUAAGCAUGGAUCAAAGUACUUUCAUUGUUUAGCAAGCCAUUUUCUGUCCUAAAGCAGUCUUAAGUAGGGUGGAGUAGGAACACUCCCAUAGCUAGGAGCCCCCACACUCAAGUAGAAUUCUCACCAUCUGCUAGGGAAUUUUUUUAAGUAGAAGAUUCCUCAAUGGGGGAAACCCCUAACAUUCAUAAGUCUGAGAAAUUUUAAGGUUUACAGUGGAUACAAGGUAGUCCUAUGACUUAACAUAUGUCAAGCAUUGCAACCUCAAGUCUCACUAGGUUCAAGUCCUUUUUUAAUGGCUUAGAACUGCAUUAAUCCUACCUGGAUAGAUUUCCUUCUUUUUUGACCCUUGUGAUCAUUUUGGCACCAUUCAGGCACUCUUUGGAACUGUUCUCCUUGUUUUUAUCCCAUUUUCUUGAAUCAGAUACAAUCAUUAAUCCCAGUCCCAUACUAUUUUAUCAAUAAAUAGCAAAAUACAGGAAUUCAACAUGUUCCCCAAAACAGUAUCCACUUGUCUAUGGAUUAUUAUCUCCAAUGUAUGUGAUAGGAUACAGUCAGCCUCAGCAGAAGAUGUUCUCUUUACAUGUGAGCAAUGAAUCCAAGAGUCCUCUCCAAUCUUUAUAGAUGUUGGAGUAGUUAACAAUAUUAGGACUGACCCUUCCCAGGAAGGCUGAGUUGUUCCAGUAUGCUGGAAAUUCUUAAUAUACACCUUGUCUCCUGGGCUCAGGUCAUGAAGUGAAAAGUCUGGCUUGUACUCAAACUCCGGAUUAAUGGAGUUCACGCAAUUUGUGCUGUAAUUCCUGUAUGUAGGAAGCAAUAGUAGUGUUUCCCCUAACCGUGAUGUAUAUGCAGGGCAGAUAUGUGGAUGUCCAAAAAGCAUCUGAAAUGGUGAGAUGUGUAGGUCUCCUCUAUGCCUGCUUGAAUGAUAAAAUAGGAACAGAGGGAGAACUUAAAGCCAUUUUAAAUGUGUCUCGGUGCUGUAAAAGAUUUGAACCCCAUACUUCAAUCUCCAGAAGUCCUUCCCAGAAUCCCCUAUAAUCUCACCUGAGUGAGAGAACACAAUUUUUAUUUAAAGGGCUCUCAGCCUCCCAAGGCUCUGAUCUUCUGCUUCCAAGCACACUCGUGUCUCUACCUGGCAGGCAAGAUGUAAGUGUCUGUGAAUGGGCUAUUCAGCCCUGGUCACAUGCUUUUCUUAUUUCCUUGAUUUCUAAUAAUAUUAACAAACCUUAAUUAUACUGUUCGGUUGUUCCCACGUGUGAAUGAUGCCAUAUGAUCAAAUGAUCAAAAAGAGACCUUGAUGCUGACCAUUGUGUUUCCCUGCCGCCUAAUCUAUCAAUGGGUGGAGUGUGGCCCAAAACACAGUCUCGUCCUUGCAGAGGAAGUGAGAUGCGUGGGCCCAUGUCCCUUGCUGAUGGGAACAUUUCAAUAUUGGGCAUCCCAUUACAAAGGUUUUGUUAAAAAAAAAAAAGCUGACCCACCCUGAAAUCCUGCCUGACCUCUACUGCAUAGCCCACUAACAUUCUGCUACCUCGAUGUGGUUUUAUUUUCUUGGCCCUGAGUUUUGCCUUGCUAAUCUGAGUAAAACCUGAAAAAGAAUGAAUUUGAAAAAAAAUAAAUAUGUAAAAGCAUGGAAAUAUCUAUAUGUACUGAUACAGACUGAGUUAAGUAGAGCCAAGAAAUAAUAUUUACAGUAAUAACAAUGUUAAAUGCAAAGAACAGUGCAUCCUUUCCAAAAUCAAAUGUAGAUGUGCCAAAUUUAUACAGAUCAGGAAGGCCUCCAAAUGAAGUACUGUAAAAUUUAAAUGUAUAUCUCUAAUAAUGAAAAUAUAUUUUUUGAGAUAUAUUAAGGAUCAUUAGAAAUCAAGGAAUAAAGAGGAUACAAAUUAAAACUACAUGCUCAUGACUGGUUAGCCAUUUCAAAUUUUCCCUGCCUUACCACCAUCACUGCUCAUGGUACAUCAGGCAAGAAGAAAGAGAGGGUGGGAGGAGUUACUGCCAGUUAAAUACCAAUAACAUGAUCUCGUCAAUAUGGAGACACAGGAGAGAUUAUUGGGAAUUCUGGGAAAUACCAAGGAUUUCUGGGGAAUGAAGUCUAGGGAUCAAAGGAAAAAAAGGAGCACAGACUUAACCUGAAUAGCACCAAAAAGAGCACAGAGAUCAGAAGGACCAAAUCAAUUCAUGUAGGAUUGAUGAACUUCUAAGCCAAUAUGAAAGGACUUGUACCUAGUGUGAGAUUCGAGGUUGUGCCUCCACAAACCACAUACUGCACCAGAAGAUCCAGAGUGAACUUUGGGAUGUGGUGAUCUGAACUGUGUGCCGUUAAAUGCAUUUGUUUUUGUAUUUGUUUUGUAUUUGAACUUCACUUCAUCACUUAGGAUACUUUUGAUUACCUCUAUCAAAAGUAUCCGAAAGUGUCCAAACAGUUUUGAAAAGUUUUGAACCUAUAUUGGAACAGUUUUUCCAUCUAAAUAUUUUAUUUUUAUAACUCGUCAAUUUAUUUUUAUGUUCCCCAGGCUCAAGUGCCCUGGGGAACACUCGAGUCUCUCUAGGGCCCCUGCCCUCCCUGCCAGGAGUUCUGUUGGACCGUGUGGCUUCCCAACCCCUCCCAUGGCUCCCCUUCCCUUGGCUUCCCUGCUCCCCUUUCUGGCAGAGCCCUCAGGCCCCUUCCAUGUCAGGGGGGUUUCAAUUCUGCCUUGUUAAGUGUAAAUUUAGGGUUGUUGAUUGAAUAUAUUAUACUAGUGGUCACCAGGGCUUAAAAUUCAAUCCCAGUAAAACACUUCAGUCAGAUUGAGAUUUUCAUGGUAGUUUCAUUACAAUAAAAGGAAGAAAUUAAGAAGAAGAGAGAGAGAGAGAGGAAAGGGAAUUGGAUUGCUCAGGCAAGCCAGACUAGAAUUGGAGUUCAAGGGAAGGAGGAAUCAGUAACCUCACCAAAGUCAAUCAGGGAAGAUGUCUCACCUAAUACACGCUAAAGAGCUUUUCCCAGUCACCUCACUGGCAAGCCACAUACAAAAAAUCCCCACCAGCAGUUCCUAAGCAAUAGCGAGAACUCAGCUAGAGGAAGUGUGGAACUGUCGUCUUGUUAUACACCAGAGAAUCCACACUGGGGAGAAACCUUAUGAAUGUAAGCAAUGUGGAAAGGCAUUCUGUAUUAGAUCAAGUCUUGUUGAACAUCAGAGAAUCCACACGGGGGAGAAGCCUUAUGAAUGCAAGCAAUGUGGAAAGGCAUUUAGUAUGAGGUCCAGUCUUGUUGCACAUCAGAGAAUCCACACGGGGGAUAACCUCAUGAAUGUAUGCAAUGUGGAAAGGCAUUCAUUAAAAAUUCUUAUCUUGUUAUACAUCAUAGAAUCCACACAGGGGAGAAACCUUAUGAAUGCAAGCAAUGUGGAAAGACAUUCACUACGAACUCUUGUCUUGCUAGACAUCAGGGAAUCCACACUGGGAAGAAACCUUAUGAAUGCAAGCAAUGUGGAAAGGCAUUUACUAUAAGGUCCAGUCUUGUGAGACAUCAGAGAACCCACAUGGCCUAGAAACCUUAUGAAUGUAAGCAAUGCGAAAAGGCAUUCAAUAUAAGUUCCCAUCUUGCUAGAUAUCAGAGGAUCCACAUUGGGGAAAAAUCAUAUGAUUCCAAGGGAUGUGGAAAGACAUUCAUUAGGAGCUCGCAAGUUAUUGUACAUCAUAGAAUUGUAACUGUGAAAAUGUGGGUUUCAAGACUGAAUUGCCAAAACUGUAAAGGUUUCGGCCAAACUGUAAAGAUAAUUUUUAGUGUCUUGAUUUAAGCAAAAAAUAAGUGGUCGCUAUGGGGAAAAUCCCAAAUAUGAAAAUAAUCCUAGUCAGCUGGGUUUUAUGAAGAUUUUUAUUAAUACAAAUGAACGAAUUGAGGGAAGAGAGAGUGUAACAGAAAAUAGUAGGAAGGGUCUGAGACAUAGGCCUGAGCCUUAAGAGAUACUAGUCAGUGUUUAUCACUCACCACAAGAUCAUCCCAAGGAAAACUCCAGUCCUUCACUGUAAUCCUCAACUCCUGAACUGAGUUCAGAUUCUCAGCUCCUCCAAACUAACUCCAAAGUCCAAGCCUUUCCUCUGAACUCCUGCCCUCCGUUUAAAGAGAAUCUUCUAUUAUGUCACCUCCCCCAAAUUUUCACAGCUACCAAUCAUAGUAGACUCUUUUUACCAGGACAUUCCAUCUUUAGUUCACAUCUAUGUUUUGCUAUCACCUUCUCUGAUUAGAUUAUAUCUUCUGAAUAUUUCACAUCUCUGCCCUUUGUAAGUUGCUUCAAUUUUUAGUGAUUAAUUUAAUCUUUAUAGGUAUCUAUCAGCUUUUUGUAUUAGAUCUAGAAAUAGACCACCUAGCUUAAGGUUUUUGAUUCACUAUAAGUAUGAGUUGGGGACUUUUCAUUAUUCCAUUAGGAAUUUGUAAAUUUAUCUUGUCCUAAGGCUCUGUCUGAGCAGGGUGGAGUAAUUUUAAAGUUCUCAAUACAUUCCUGGCCAAGUACCUCCAUUGUUAUGUGGGGAAUAGCUUAAUCAAAUCUUCUAAGUUAUAGUCUGAGCAAUUUUAAGAUUCACAAUCACCCUGAUGAUCAUUGGGAGACUAGUCUCCCCAUUGAUCAUUUAACGUAAUCGUCUUGUAGUCCUAAGUUACUUCUAACUACAAAUGUAUACAAUGUUCAAUUUUCCAAGAGGAAAUUACACUUGUUAGGGAGGAAUAGAAAAGAAAGAAAGCAAAACCAAUGUUUUGCUAGGUGCAUUGACAGAAAGCCUAAUUAGGGGCAGUCUCCUUUGCAUAAAACCAUACAUUUACAAUGAAUAUUCAAUUAAACUUCAGAUCAAACAACCAUAUCCAAAGUUCUUUCUGGAUUUUCUUGAUGUAGCAUGGGUUUUCUGGUAUCUUUCUGCAACAGUUCAUUCUCUGGAUUUAGGAGUUAGCAAGCUUCUUCCUUGAAGAUCUUUUGUUGAAUAAAAAAAUAAAAAAUCUUGGAUUUUUAGUAACAUGCAAUGCCCCCUGAUGUGGGUGUUAAAAAACGACCGAUUCAGCUCUGGAUUCAAUGUUGAGUUAUGGGGGUGUAUGACUCAAUUAUCAAAAGAAGAGAAGAAUACAACUGAAAAUAUGAGGGGAAAAAAUUCAAAAUAGGCCCUUGUAUAGGUUAAAUUUAAAGUAAUUUCUAUCCCACAGGUCUGUAGGACAGAAUGCAGUAAUAUUUCACUUAUCCAUUUGCAGCCAAGACUACAGGAAGUUGCCAUAGAAGAAGAAGAAAAAGGAACUAGAAUUCUUAUUUUAUAGGGAAGUGUUCCUUCAUUUGAUUUUUGACAUUCUUAGGGAUAUAGGAAGCCAGGAUGAUAGUCAAACUUUGACUGUUUGACUAAACAAAUGAGUAUUUCACAAAAUGUGUAGAUACAAGGAAGUCAUUUGACUUAAUAUGUCAAGCGUCACAACCUCAAGUCCACAUUAGUUUUUCCCUGUUUGCUCUUUUUGGCACUAUUCAGGUUAAGUCUGUGCUCCUUCUUUUUAUCUCUUUUUCUGGAAUCAGAUACAAACAUUAAUCACAGUCCCAUAAUAUUUCAUCAAUAAAUGGCAGGUUCCCAUAGUUUAAAACUUUUGGGUAUAGCGAGUAUAUAUAUGAAUUAAACUUGUAUUAGUGCAAAAAAAAUAUCAAUUAUGUGUACCUUUAGUACAAGAAACAAGAGAAAAAUCAAUUAUUCUAAUCAAAAUAAAGGGUUUAGGCUCUAAUUUGAGGAGUGUUUAGUAAUUUCCCCAUAACAAGGAAUCCAUUGUCUGCAAAUCCCUGUUGCUCCUAAAAUUGCUCUCAACUGUUUCUUAGUGGUAGGAGUGCUUAAAGUUUGAAUAUUUUCAAUUCGUAUUGGAGAAAUAUAGCAAGCAAGAAGAACCCCAAAUAUUCUACUUUAGGGAGAUACCACUGAAGCUCAUCCUUUGAGAUUUUAAGUCCUCUUUUGUGCAAUUCCAGAGAAGGUGUUUGCUAUCUUCCUGACAUGCUUUUGUGUCUGUUGAAGCCAAUAGUAGAUCAUCCACAUAUUUGGUUAAUUUGCUAUUUUUUAAUGUUCUAUUAUCUGUAUCUUGGCUCAAGAUUUGUGCAAAUAAACUCGGGCUUUUUACAUAAGCCUGAGGCAUAUGCAAUUUUAAGAAUCACAGGAUCCACACUGGGGAGAAACCUUAUGAAUACAAUCAAUGUGGAAAGGGAUUCAGUAUGAGCUCUAGUCUUGCUAGAUGUUAGAGAAUCCACAUUGGGUAGAGACCUUAUAAAUGGAAAGAAUGUGGAAAGAAAUUCAGUUGGAACUCCCAUCUUGCUGUACUUCAGAAAACCUACACUGGAUAGAACCAUAAAAAUAAAAGCUAUGUGGAAGGAUCUUCAUAUUUGGUAAUUCAGUACCUGUCUUGUUGUGUGAAGGAAAUUUUCUCUCCCCACCUUUCUAGGGCAGCAUUGUGUAAAUAGAAAUCUGUAACCCUAAAAUCUGAUUCUUAGCACCAAACUCUCAUCCUCUUUUUAUGUGCUGACAUAAUCAGAGUAUGAAUUUGGUGGAGCCCUGCCUCUUGGUCUCUUCUCUUCCUGUGAUGGCAGAUGGGAACAUGGGGAUUUUGAACAGUUUGGAAUAUAGUCAUGUUGUUAUAUUUUGUUAGAUAACAAACUGAAAUGACCAUAAUUGAGGUAUUAGAUAUUAAUAAUCUUAUAAUGAUCUGCAAACAUAAUAUAUAUGAGGAUAUAGGCACUGAAUAAUUUUUAUAAAGCAAACUUAUUUGACUAUGAACUCAAAACUAAUGAUUAUGUUAUAAAAAUCAUCACAAAGGCUAAUACUAUUACAAUCAUAAAAUAGGGGUUUCACACUUUCACAUACAAUGUCAAAUACAAUUAUCCUGAUAGAAGAGAUAUGAAUUGAAGUACUACAUUAUAACUGAUUUUAAGACAGUUCUGUCAAAUAUAUUCAUCCAUAUAAAUUGUAACCUACAGAAUCUUUUCUGAAGAGACAUUUGCUGUCAGCAUUUCAAAUAGUAGGGACCUCUACUUUCAAAUUAGUCUGCUUCUCAGGGUUUAUGUCUAUCUACCUGAUCAGUAGGAGGGUCUGAGCCCUGGGCAUGAAGGAGGAAAAGAGGAAGGUAUUGAAGAGAUGGGGAAAGUGGUAAUGGCCCAGGUAGAAUUCAGGCUCUGAGGUAGAAUUUGAAGGCCUGAGGAAGAACAGGAUUUAGGACUCACAAGGAAAGCUCUAAGAAUUUUAGAGACCAAGAGAAACUCCUUAGAAAGUGUGAUGCUACCUGAGAAGACUGAAUCGAAGAGGUUAAGGUGAGCACAGAGUUCAUAUUCCAAGCAGUGGAAACAACUAAGGGAAAGGCAACAUGAUAAGAUGAAGGGUCCUGAUCAAGAAUCAUUCAGGAGGCCAGUAUCACUGGGUCAGAGACAGAAUAGAGAGGAGUUCUUGUGAGAGAAACACACCCAAGUUUGUAGAAGUAUCUUAGGCCAAGAAUGGGAGACUCAAAUUCCAUUCAAUUUGAAAGAAAAUGAUUUUAUUUGAAGGAGUAGUUUGUGGUUGUGUAAUAACUUUUGGAAUAGUCUUGAGGCUAAUCACGUAGCCACAGGGAUGAUAGACAAGUACAAGGGCUAGUAGAACUUUUAAAAAACUGCAGAGUAAGAGAUAUGUAUGUCUGAUCUUCCUCAUUGGAAUCUGUCCUACUCUACCCUACACAAUUUUCCCUUCUUACUCAAUGCAUCCACUCUUGCCCAACUUAUCCCUCUUCCCACCCCUGCUGUCUCCUGUUCUUCCUCUUCUGCCUCAGCCCCUCCCACCCUAACCUAUUCAUCCCUCCUCCUGAUCCUACCAUUCAUUGUUCUACCACUCCCUGCCCAUAGUCCCACCCCCUCAGCCCCAUCCCUUUUCAUACCUACCCCACUGAAAUCCAAGCAUGGAGCCUAGAGGCAGGAACACAAAAUGAUUCAGUUAAAAGCUUCUUCCUCUUAAAAGAAGUACCCACCUUAAUAAAGGCCUAAGUUUGAUGGCUUUAAGACCACUCACUCAUCAUCCCCCCCCCCCAUGAUCUAAGUUGAUUCAGAGAAGACACCCCUUUUUCAAAAAAGAACCAAUCAUAAUUAUAAGAAAAAAUGGAGAUCAUAUUCAAAACAUUUGACCCCAAUUGAGUGGAUAAUGAAAUUUUAUUAGAUUUUUUUUUGCCAAAGAGAAAAAUAAAACCUCUCUUGCUUAGAAUGAGCAAGGUAGAAGAGCUACUCAUUGACAGAUUCAGGAUCCAAAAAGGAGCCCCAAUAUUGAGAGAAAUUAUACAAAACUAUGCCAGGCGAGAGAAACACUACUGACAGCCAUGAGAGCUUGCUCUGAUAGGCCAUAUACAUGGUCAAAAUUCAAAAGGACUAAACAAAAAAUCAAUGAAAACUGCUCCCAGUUUAUGGACAGAUACGUAGAUCUGGGAAAUAGAUAUAUUCACCUUGCUUUGUCCAGAGAAUAGGAUAUUAGACAAAUUCAUUGAGAAUUGUUGUAAAACGACCAAAGACUUCUUUAAGACUAGCUGCCUGAAUUGAGACUUGUGGAUCUCAAGGAGUUGACAAGGGUAGCUGUCUAUGUUUUUAAGGGCCAUGCAUAAAAACAUAAGGAGAAUAAUGAAUCAAUGGCCGCCUUAAAGAAAGAAAAUAAAAUUUUAAGAGAAAAACUGGAAAAUCGGGAGUAACUAGCCCCUAUGCAGGAAUUCACAAAUAAACAACCAAAAUGUUAUGUAAGGGAAAAGGCCACUUAAUGUUGCAGAAACUGGAAUCAGGUAUUCAAUAACACAUAAUUUAAGUAUAAUGGUAAUUUUAGAAAUAACAUUACAAAAACAAAAAUAUAAUAAUAAUACUUAUGGAAACAAUACUCCAAAUGAGAAAUAAUAACACAUCAAAAUACCCAACAACACUAUAUCUAAAUUUAAAGUAUCCCCAAGGUAAAAAUCCACCCCAUAGUGGGGUAACCCGGAAAAAUGCACAAGCAUCUUUAUAAUGGUACACAGGGGGAGGAAGGGCCUUGGAAUCAAAGAUAGAAACUUGAUUUUCCAGACCCUGAUGUUUUAAUGCCAAUUAAUCCUAUACAUUCCCCCCCCACACACACACACACAUCUUAAUGAAAUGCAUGUAACCCAAAAAGUGGGAAAUUAAUAUUUUAUCUGUCUUUUUAGAUACUGGAGCAUCCAGAUGUGGUGAGUAAACCAGAUACAAAAAGCAACUCUUGGCUCUCUAUAGUAGAUUUCUCAGGAACUCCUUAAAAGGUCCCCAAAUGUUCUCCUCAAAUGGUAUCUGUGGCACACUUAUCUGUAGAACAUUCUUCUCUUUUAGUUCUUGGGGCCCCAAGAAUCCUAUUGGGAAGGGACCUAUUACGUAAACUUAAAGCCACAAUAAUUUGCUCACACAAUGUCAUUAUGACAUUAGAAGUGCCUGGGGAAUCUUUAAAUUUGUUCCCUGUAUUUCCCUCAGAGAGGUAGGAGGUGAAAGAACCUCCCACUUUUCAAAUAACAGCCGAUAUACUUGAGUCUCUGGGCCACAUCUUCCUCUGAUGUUUAAACAACAUUUAAAUCAGCUGUUCCUGUUCAAAUUAAGACAAGAGGUGGGCCAGCUUCCUCCAUUCCUUAGUACACCCUAUCAAAAGAGUUAAUUGAGGGAAUAACCCUAGUAAUAAAUUCAUUAAUUGAGCAAGGAAUAAUUCUUUGUAAAUCAGAACAUAAUAUACCUAUUUUACCCGUGAAAAGCCAAAAUCAGGCCCAGAUGGUAAAGUAGUAUAUUGAUACAUCCAAGAUUUAAGGGUUGUAAAUAAUCAUGUUGUAGAAAGACAUCCUGUGAUAUCAAAUGCAAACACAAUAAUUUCCGUUAUUCCAAGUAUAGCCACUUACUUUACUGUAGUGGAUUUGUGGACAGCUUUUUUUUUGGGGGGUGGGGAAUCUUAUUAAUGAAGAUUCCAGGAAUAUAUUUGCCUUUAUCUGUAAAGGUUCCCAGUGGUCCUGUUGUCAUUACCACAAGAGUAUAUGGAAAGCCCUACCCUGUUUGUACGAAUUUUAAGCUAAGAUACAGAAAAUAUAAAAUUUAAAAUUAAGUUAAUUAAACAUGUGUAUGAUUUACUCUUCAUCUCACCAAAUGCCACAGCAUGUCAAGUAGUAGUAAACAUCUUUUAGAACUACAUAAAAGAGGUCACAAGGUCUCAAAGGCAAAAGUUCAUUGUUAUCUCCACAAAGUAGAAUAUUUAAGGUUCAUUUCAACUGCUGGUGCCCAUUCUAUUUCUCCUCAUUGCAUUGAAAAUAUUCAAAAAUUUAGGGCUUCUACCACUAAGUACUAUUAAAAAAGGAAUCUUAGGAACAACAGGUUUUUGUAUACAGUGGAUUCCUUGCUAUAGGGAAAUCACUAAACCCCUUAUAUAUAGCACUAGCAAAGCAUUUAGUCUGAACCACUCAAAGCCAGAACACCUGUCAGCUCUGUCAAAUUUAAAACAGGCUAUCCUGUCUGCCCCUGCUCUAGGCAUCCCAGAUUAUAAAUACAUUUACUUUUCUUAAAGGUAAAAUUAGGCUUGAUGACUGAAUAUAUUAUGUUAGUGGUCACCAGGGAUUUAAAUUCAAUACCAAUGAAAUACUAAAGUAAGUUUGGGGUUUUUAUGGUAGUUUAAUUACAAUAGUAGGAAGCAUUUAAGAAGAAGAGAGGAAAAUGAAUUGGAAUGCUCUGGUGAUCCAGGUAGUUCAGAGGCCUACUCCAAGGAGCCUUCUCAAUCUAGCUCAGCUUCCAGCCAUGAGGUCUCUUCUGAGAUGAUGGGCCUCCUUGCAGAUAGUGCUUUUAGGGGGUCAAGGAAAGGAGGAAUAAGUCUUAUCACUCACAAAGGUUGCUCAGGGAAGACACCUCUCCUAAACCACAUUUCAAAGCUUCUCCUGGUAACCUCACUGCCUACACAAAAACACCAAAUGCUGUCAAGAGCUGCCAACACCUCUGAGUGAGCGCUCACAGAAAGUGAUGCGAAAUAUAUAGGCAGUUCUUUUCAUGACUUCUUGCAUCUCACAUGUACCAAUGGUAGCUAAAGCUUGGCUUAGGUCAGCCCAGGGGGUGGGUCAGUUGUUUCUGAUUUGUCACUUUCUAGCACAUGUCAGUGACAAACCAUCCCCCCCAAACAGUUAAUCCUUAAGUGGGGGUGUAUACAUUCCUGGUUGCUAGAAUUCUAAAGACUAAGCAGGGUGGGUUGAAUCUAAAAUUCAUACUUUGUACAUAUAUGAGCAGAGAGGGGUGGCUUCCGGCAUUUUAACCCAAACUUUGUGACCAAUUCAGCAUCUGGUUGUUUAUUAUUUGGCCCAUCUGGACCCAGUAGCUUCAGAAGCACCACCAUGCUUUAGAGGCAUAGCUGCCACAGCUUUAUUACUAACAAAAGCUGCCUAUCUAGUAUUGGAAUCCCAUUACCAAUUUUGUACCCACAUGAGGUAGAAGCAUUGUUGCUAAGGCAUAAACACAGGCAUUUUCAGAUCAAAGACUCACAAGAUAUGAUGUAACCUUGUUGGGCAACAAAAAUACCACUUUAAAAUGUAGUACAACUCUUAACUUUGCUUCCUGAUUUGCCAGUUUCAGGAGAACCAUUACAUAGCUGUGAAUCUUAAGUGUCCAUGGCUGAAAAACCUCGAGAGAAUCUCAUGGACACUUCUGUAGACAAACCAGAUCUAGUCUUAUUCACCAAUGGUUUAUAAUGACCUGCUCCUGGCCUGGGGCUCUUGAGGAUUUUCUCUAUAAUAUUCUGGUACUUUUUCUUCGUGUUCAUCUUCCAAAAUCAGUGACACAAUUUUCCCCAUUUUACAGAUCAGAAAAUAGAUUCCAUUAAGUGGCUUGUUCUGAGGAACCGACAUAGGAGCUGUUCUUAAUGAAAUGUAAAUCGACGCCUUCCUGCCUCUAAUCCCUGGCCCCUGCCCCCUCCCCUUAUGGCUGCCUCUCAUUUCCUGGCAAUGGAAAACUGGUCUGAAUCCAGCUUCCUCUGAAGAAAAUGGCCUAAAACCUAUCAUUCUGGUUCCAGAUUGGUUCCCUGAACUGCUCUCCCUCUCUUCCCACCCUAAAUGCUGGGGAGACUAUCCUCCAGGAGUCCCCACAAGCCUCCCAUAGUCCCUUGCCCUCCUCUGUGAUUGUCAAGAUGAAUGGCCUGGCUGAGAGAUAGCAUUGGACCCAAUGAGGAUUGCUGAGUUUUCUAGGAUAGGAGGCAGAGACACCCCAAGAGAAGAGUCUCUAAGCCUCUGAAAGGUGUCAGGGAGGGAGAAACAGGCAGGGUAAUGGGCCAAAGGCAAUCCCUUGAGAUCCCUGCUUUUUGGGCUUCAGACUGAUGCAGAACACUGACCCUUGGACCCAGUUUAGAAGUUUAGCAAUUUCUCCAAGAAUGGACCAGAACCAGGCUGUUGCUCACUCCAGAUCCCCCAGCAGGGUCACAGGCAAAUCCUGCCCUGGGUGCCUGCAUUACAGACACUGAGGGGCAAGGGUAGACUCCUGGGGAAACCCCAUGGACAGAGUCUCUGAGUGGAGUCACUGGACUCCCCAACCUUUCCCUCAAGAGAACUCAGUGAUAAGCUUCUCUCUAUUCUCCUCCCUGACUGAUUCUCCUUUACCCAGGGUAUCCAUCUCCUCCAGAAGAUCUGAUCUCUUCUUUGGAGCAGAAGGCCUGAGGAGCUACUGCCCAGGUAUGGGAAGGGAAAAUAGGUGUGGGAGAGCCAGGGUGACCAGAGGCUUCUGUGUGCUCUGGUGAAGCCAGGGCUAUAUUUGGAGAUAGGACGACCUGAUUGGAAUUUUCAGAGGUCUUAGCAAGGGCUCCCUGGGCAAGUCACUGAAUCCCUGAGCCUCAGUUUCCCUAUCUCUAUGAUGAGGCUGUUGGAUUCCAUUUCCUAUCAGCUCCCUUCAGUGUUUGGGACUGAAGGGCUUGGAAGUCUCUUGCAGGGGCCAGCAGGGCUGAACUUAUCCCCUCUAAACUCUUUAGUAUCCAGAAUCACUUAUGAGUACUUGCUGUAUGCUGGGUCCUGGGCUAUGUUAUAGGGGACAUCAAGGGCUGCUGUGGACAUCCCCUGCUCUCAGGGAGCUCACCCUCUGCUGGAGCAGAUAGCAGCAUGCAGACAGUUCUGUAGAAGCCUUCUAGAUCUCAGCUCCAGGGCAACCAAUCCCAAGAGGGAAAGCUCUGAAGGGAAGGAGCACUAGAGAGGUCUAAUGUGGGGAAAGGGUCCUGAGGGUUCAGGAGAUCCAGACUGAGGAUUCUGGGGGUAUGUAUAACAGAGAAAACAAGGGAAAGUCACCUGCACAACUCAUUGCAAAUGGCCAUGUCUAGCAGUUUAGCUAUGAAUCCAAAGACAGAUGUUGGAUAGUACCUCAUGGGAAGGAAGAGAUCGCGUGAGAGUGUUUGGAGCAUUUGAGAGAAAUGGUUUAUUGGUUCCCAGAAGAAGAGAGUCAUUAGCUCAAAAGCUCACAAGUCAUUAGCUCACAACGUGAGGGAAAGACUAAAGAUGAAAGAACAAUGAGGACCCUGCAGGGAGAAAUGGAGGGGCUUAGAUGAGGGAUGGGAUGGACUUCUUUGCUAUGGAAAGAAUUUUCUUUAGCUAGGAGAAGAAGGACCUUUUUCUCUGAUCUUGAGUCCAGAGAGGAAAAGGAGGCAACUGAGCUAGGUGAGAGAUGGAGGAAAGAGAGCUCUGCAGAGAAAUCCAGCAUUUGUUCAAUGAAAAAUGAGGCCAAGUUCUCAGCUCGGAAGGUGAGGCAGGGGAUACGAGGAAGCCAUGAGGUAGAGCUGGAGGCCAUGGAAAUAUUUGGAAAAGCUGCUGUGGUGGGCGGCAAAGGGAAUCCGUGAGAGGGAUGUCAUAGGAUUGCCUUGCCAUGGUGAGUACCCAGCUGAGGUCAGGAAGCCUCAAUGUAGAGUGCAGCCAGGCAGCUGGAUUCUUGAUUUUCCUUCUCUCCACUGACCUGAAGCCUAUGAGCAGGAAUGAAGACUGCUGCUUUCCUUAGAAUUAAUCCAAGGCUAAACUUUCCCUAAAUCAUUAGCUCCAGCCCUUUCCUGGUCUCUGGAGUUCAGUCUUUGUCCUGUUGUUGCACAAUCAGGUGACCACAGCACCUCACUUUUGGGAUAUGAGAGCCUAGAGAGAAGCCUCUGGGAUCUCCAGGUCUGGGUCUGCUCUAUUUCCAAUGGAGUUUUUGUUCACUAUUGAGAAAUAAGGGCAACAGAGAGACAGAAACACCGCUGAGGCCAGAGCAUGCUUUUUGCCUUCCUAGAGAGAACAGAAUGCAAGGAUCCUAGUAGAGUUUGGGCCUGACAUAAGCCCUGGGACCAGUCAGUGAAUAUGUAUUAAAUAAUAAAUAUGUCGUUUGACCUGUGCUAAGCGCUAAGGAUACAAAGGAAGGGAAACAUCAGUCUGGGCAGUCCUGGAUCUCACAAUCUAGAAUCCAGACAUUGAGGUGCUUUAGAAAGAAGCAACAGAUCCUGAAUCUCACUCUGAGAUGAUCCAGGGGUAAAGGAGUGUUGGGGAAUGGAAAUGUAUUUAAUUCAACAAGGAAAUCAGGAACUAACAGAGUGAAGAGAAUAACAGUUUAAGGAGAAAAGUCAUCAAAGGAGGAAAUAAUCUAAAUUCUAGAGAUAAAAAUAAAUAUCACUCUCAGCAGUUGAUAACUUGGAGUCCAUCUAAGAUAAAGGUCUGAGUGCCCUCUGUCAAGAGGUCAAUAACUCAGAGUCUGAACUCUCCCUCCCCUUCUUUAGGCCUCUCCUAGUAAUACAUGUUUUUGCUGGCAAAGAUAUUAUGAGGGAGGAAAUGGGUUAUUUUAAAUUAAUUCAAAAGAGAUUUUAUUUACAAUUUAUUUAUAAAACGUAUAAAGAGUGAAGUAAGAAAUCAGAGAGAGGAUGAGGUAAGAUAGGUAGCCCAAGCACUAAGUAAUUUAUCUCUGCCCCCUGCCUAGAGAUGCAUCCCUCUGUUCAUCUUAAAUCUAAAGGAGGAUCAAAGGAGCACAAUCAUCUCAGGGUCCUAUAGGGUCAUUAGAUGUUUUUAGGUUAGGAGUAACAAGGAUGUAAGGGAUCAAACGAAUUUCCCUGACAAUAGUUUGCCUGAGUUUCUGGGGGUACAAUGCCCAUGUCAUCUGCCCCCUCUCCAAAUAUGUAAGGGAAUAGGGGUGAUGGUCUCAGUGUUCUGUAGCUUCUUCAGAGCUGAGAAUGGUUGUAGAGCUGUCCCUACCUGUUGUGAGGAGAGAGAGAGCUAUUGGCUGUAGGCAAUAUCCAGGGCUUCAGGCUGGAAUGGUUGCCAAGGUUACAGUGGCAUCUGGCUGACUCCCAUGAGUGCUUCUACCCUAGAAGCAACUAGAGAAGUGACAAGGUUACAAAUGCAAGGUCCACAUAUCCCACAGGGGAGUAGCCAAAACUUUUACAGCGAGGGAAACUCUGUGGAUACAGGGUCUUCAGGGGUGUGUCCUCAGUGAAUGCCUGGGUCCUAGGUAGAUGAGGACCUACUUGGAGAUCUGAAUGAUGUCCAGUGACUGCUUCCCCUGUUUGUCAGACAGGUCACAAGGGGGAGAGUCAGUCCCUGAGUUAGAAGUGUACAAAUCAGGACUGGGGAAAAAACUAGAACACCAGAUAGAAACAGAGAAAAUUGGUACAAUAGUAAUUGAUAUUAGACUUUUACAUUUGGGUAUCUUAGCCAACAGACUCCAUCUUCAGAAAUCAUCUUCUGACAGGAAUAGAUCCCUUUAGAAAAUCAAAUUCCUGAGUUGUUUGAAGAGUUGGUAUGUCAUGUUUCUGUUAAAGAAUAUCACUUUGCAAAGUACACAUUAACUAUAAACAUCUAUAAACACUUGAGUAAAAAAAUAUUUUACAGAUGAAUUUCUUUACCCCAGAUUCUGGAGGAAAUUCAAGAAAGUUUUGAGCUAUAUUUCCUAGCUCAAGAUCCAAACUUCAACUGUGGUCAAUUAAGGCUACAAAUACAAGCCAUCUAUGAAUAAACUUCACCUACUUCUCAAA